GACUUCCAUGUUUCCGCGGCAACGGGAGGAUGUAGUCUGAUUUCUGCCAGCAUGCCUCUGUCCCCUGGCCUCAGGAACACUGUGGGACCUUUGCGGGGCAGAGGUGGAACUUAGCUGAAGAGGGGGCCUCACAGAGGGGAAGGGCAGCACCAGACAGAGAAGGACAGAGAAACCGACUUCCGAAGUCCCAGCUCCUGAUUUCCACUGGCAUAGUUUAUUGGCAUAUCAGAGAUCUCCCCCAGCUUUUGAAGGAAGAGAAUAUGGCUGCAGCAGAAAGAUGGUGGCUCUGGCUUUGGAAUGAAUUUCCCCUAAAUCAGUGUUUCUCAGACAUUCCCAUAAAAGGUGCCACCACCUUGGAUAAACCCAAUGGAGUUCGCCGCAAACAUGAGAUUUCUGUGAGCAUUUUUAUGUUUUUUAUUUAUUUUUAAAAUUGUUAUGUUUUAUAUGAACACUGUAUGAGUUUGCAUUUAUAUUCAUGUCUAACAUCAAAUAAUACUUUAAAUUAUAAUCAGGUAAAAAACAUAUAAUUAUUUUUGUUGUUGUUGUUUAAAGAUUUAUUUCUUCAUUUUGGGGGGGAAGGGCAAAGGAAGAAGAAGAAUCUCAAACAGACUCCCCGCUGAGUGCAGAGCCUGACACAGGGCUGGAUCUCAUAACCUAGGAUCAUGACCUAAGCUAAAACCAAGAGUGGGAUGCUUAACUAAUGGAGCCACCCAGAAAGAAGCCCCAGAAGAUGUCUUUUUUUCCUAACCAAAUCAUUGAAUAAAAUGGAUUUUCC
rnacentral:lncRNA from 1 species